CAGCUUCUCCAACUUAUAUAUAAGAACUCCCUCCCUUCCACUUUUAGAGCAGCUUAAUAGUACAAGAUGUUCCUUUUUGACGGGUUCAGAUCUCGUUGGAUUAACCGGGAAAAAUGGCUUUUAUAAUUCGCUUGGCUGUCUGACAACAUUGAAGGACAUCAAUGCGGUUUUUAAACUGGAGUUAAAACAGUUUGGAAUAUUAUUUUACUGCAGAGGAAUUUAACUAGGACCUUCUACUGGCUAAGCAUUUUUUACUCAAGUUCGUUCCUAAAAAAUUCAUGGAGCUGGAAUUUUGGAUAGUCCUGAGCUGCACCAUUACAAUUGUUACAACAGGCUUUCCCCUUGGUCUGCCCACCAAGUUGUUUAGUGGAAGCAUCUUGUAUGUAGAAAAAACGAAGGAAGAUCAGGACUUUGGAACUGCUGGCUAUCAAGGCCUUUUAAAGGCCUCUGGUACGGAGCUCAGUGUAAAGUUUGAUUUGAAUUCCAUUCCACUGGAUACACAAAGCACUUCACAUAAAGACUCUUUUCAAGGAACUGCAGAGUCUGCUGUGUCUACACUGAAUAUCUCCAAGCUGGAGUCCCAUCGUAGGAGAAAGCGCUGUACUUGUUUCACUUACAAAGAUAAGGAGUGUGUGUACUAUUGUCAUCUGGACAUUAUAUGGAUUAACACACCUGAGCAUACUUUGCCAUAUGGCCUAGGAAACUACAGAGGUAAACGAUCUACAAAGGAGUUUCCAAACAAUUCAAAAUUUAAACAUCUAUUACGUUGUUCAUGUGCAAAACGAAAUGACAUACAAUGCUUGAAAUUCUGCUCAGGAAAGCAAGAAGCUUGGAGAAAUAAAAAUUCACAUGAAGAGCAAGAAGAUGAACUGUCAGAGAAGUACACAGGCACUCAAAAACAUCUCCAGAGUCAGUGAAAAGCCAAUAACCACAAUCUGCAAAUAGUAAGUUGCAUUCCAAGGCAGUGGGCAACUGACAUACAGAUGGUGAAGAAAAGCUCAAAAUGAUCAUCUUCUCUGAUUUAAGGUUUCUUAUGAAUAUUUUAAGAGGAUGGGAAUUCUACAGUGCCAAACACAAACAGAAGCAUGGAAGUAAGAAUACUAGACAAUCAAUGCUUUAUGAACAGCCUAGAACUCUGAAUACUAGUGGGAAAUGACAAGGACACUGUCCAGUUUGCACUGUGAUUGACAUGGAUAAGAAUCUGAAAAAGCUUCUGACUUUAAACAAGAAGUCAUCCAUUGGGGAAAAGCUUUUACAAGUACAACAUCAAAAGACGACACUGUGAAAGUCAGUGGCAAGAUUUUAGUUAUACAUGUACACAUACAGAAAAACAGUAUGCAUAGGUUUGUUUAUGGAAAGGUUGCAUAUCUCUAGAUUUGGACAAGAUGAUGAAACUGAAAGUAUGACUUAUAAAGGUAAAUGUUACUUCUUUGCAGCAUUUCUAAUUCACGGCUGCCAUUGCUUAGGAACAAGCAGAACAUGCAUUUCUAGUAUAUGCACCAUACAGUCUCCAAUUUAUUUUAUGGAACUUUUACAAAACAGAUAUUUAAACAGUCUGUUUUAACUUUCAUAUAUAUUACUAUCAAAUGCAGCACAGUUGAAAUUCUGAGCAUCGUGUUUUUAGAAAAUCAUAUGGAAGAACAAUUCUUACAAACUCAGAAGUUUAAAUUAUGAAGAGAGGCAUGUUAUAACAGUGGAAUACAGUGGCAACACAAUAGAUUACAUUAUACCGUAAAGUAAUAUUAACAGCUGGAAAAUGUUUUAUGAACUUUCUGAUGGGAAAGAUACAGGAAAAGAAAUCAUAGUUUUGUGCUAUCUGAUAUCUGUUUUAUAUUGUGAAGUUGGAAACAAAUAAUGUUCUGUUGUCCAGCUGAAGUUCCAUGUUAAAGUUAAAACAGUUUUCAUUUGAUUUCUGCACCUUAAAAAGGCUAGAAUAUCUUUCUGCAGAAUUAAAAAAAAUCUUGCAAGAGAAGAAAAGGUUGCCCUCAGAGAUUAUAACUGGACAUUUGUUUUGCAGAAAAUCAAGAGACAGCAAAAGAGAAAUUGUUUUUAGUAUGUCCUUAUUUCUUUGGCAUAUUUCAUAUAAAAUGAUGUGGUUCUUCGGUAAAUCAAUUCUAAUUUAUGUAUCGACUACAAUUUGAAAAUGGCGUAUAUUUUUCAAAUGAAAGGCAAUAACAUCUGAAACACACUGUAAAGAACUAUAACCUGGGACUGUAGUAUUAAUUUACAUACUAAACAUGAAUAUGCAUUGGAGAACAAACCCUAAUAACCAUACCGGAACAGCGAACAAACUAUAAUUAAUAUUGUAAGGAUUCUUUUCUAAGGACUUAGAUGGAAUGAAUUUGGUAAAUAUAAAGGAAUAGGGCAGGUCUCAGCAAGGCAGACAAGAAGUAAAUAUUCCAUGAAUAAAUUAUUUUACUUUAUAAUAUUUUUUUACAAAGUCACACAAGAUAAAUUUAUUUAGCUGAUGUGGCCUUUUCUCUUUAAAAACAAAACACUAUUUAUUUAAAGAAAUGCGAUAAUUGCUGCUUUUGGUUGUUAACACUGCUGCAAGGAAAAGUUUAUAUUUUGCUAUAGUUAAUGCACUAAAAGCAGCUACCAGUGCCAGACUUAAAUCUGAAAAGAUUAAAUAUUGGCUAGACUUGUGUAUUUUGCUUAGUCAUAUGUAAAGCACAUGUGCACUGUUAGUAGCAUUUUUACAUUUCUAAGUAUAAGCUUGGAUACCCUAAAAACACAGUGAGAGUAAAAUUUUGCAGUAAAUUGCAUAGAGACGGGUGACAGAAUAAGUUUACUGAAAUGAAAGUCUUGUCUCACACAAAAGGUCUUUAAUACUAUACUUAAAUAGGCAGAUACAAAACUGCAUAGUCAAGUACAGCAAUACUGUUGGUAUAUGAGGUAGAAGGUUGUUUUAUGCAAUUGUAAAAAAUGUUUUUUUUUUCCAGCAAUGGAUUAUAGUACUUCCUGAUGAAACACUAUCAGUUUAACACUGCAGCUUACAUUACUUCACAAUUACUCAAAUUCCCACCCCCCCAUACAAUGAUUUUUUCUAUAUGCAAAUUUUAGUAUGCUUUUAAAUGGUGUGUGUGAAAGACAUGCAUUGCAUCAGUUACUGCAAAUUAAUGUGUACAUUACAAACCAGAAAGAUUUGAUGAUAUGAAACAGGAUGUGACACCUGUCUCUCAAGAUAAUGACAUCCAAAUAAAAUUACAGUAAAGGCUGCUGAAGGAAGAAGGUGUUAAUUCAUCAUGACAACAAUGCAUGGAAGAGUUAAUGUAGAAAAGAAGAAUUGUAUUUUAUCACUUAAACAAGUGAUAUAACACUAUAGCUAACAUAUAAUCUUUUUUUAUUUUGUCAUUAAAAAACAUGUAUAACGAUUUGACAACUCAUAAGUGAUAACUGAUAACUUACCAGAAAACAAUAAAACACGCAGGUUAUAUGAUAACUAGGUUUACAAUAAAGUACACAGAUUUUUCAGCUACCUGACCUUUUGGACUAACAGGAACCCUUCAUCAAGAUCUAAUAUGUUAUUAGAAUGGAUAACUUCUUAACUCCUGACAAAGGGCGACUGUUAUUUUAAAUACUUGAGUGACUAUAAUAUCUACGUAGGUCCAAUACAAAGAAUUACAAAACCUGUGUGAUCCAGUAAUUUCAGGGAAACUAAAGCUGUAGAUAAGUAUAUUUACCAUAGCAAGAGGUCUUAAUGAUAUUGCUAUUCAAACAGAAAAUUAUAACAUUAGGGUUAUUUUCCCAGCUCUCUUGCUUUUCUUGACCUGAAUUUUUCAAAGCUGUGGCCUAGUAUGUUCUUUGCAUAGACCAACAAAGGUUCUUGCUCAUGCUAAAAUAGAAUAAUAUAGAUAUGCAUGUGACUUACUCUUGUUGACUGAGCAAGUGCGUGCUCAGUUCUACCCUUCAGUCUAUAAUAACCUGCCAAGGAAGGAGAGAUGCACUAGACAAAUGAUGUUCCUUUAAUGAAAUCACAUGGACUGUAAACUACAUCAGUCAGAAAGUGUUGUGAAAUUGUAACCAGUUACAUAUGACAAAAAAGCAAGCAAAAUAUGAAGAGGCAAUUAAAAUAAAAAAACAUAGAAAUGCACUGAAAUAAUUUAUUGAAGGAAUGAUCAUUACAGGGCUGAAUAACGCAGAAUAAAAAGAAACAGUCAAAAAGGAAAAAAAAUAACAGACAAAAGGCAACAUGUAGUAUUAAUUUUAUUAAUGACUACCUUG